AGAGUUUGAUCCUGGCUCAGGAUGAACGCUGGCGGCGUGCUUAACACAUGCAAGUCGAACGAUGAAGCCCAGCUUGCUGGGUGGAUUAGUGGCGAACGGGUGAGUAACACGUGAGUAACCUGCCCUUGACUCUGGGAUAAGCCUGGGAAACUGGGUCUAAUACUGGAUAUGACUUCUCACCGCAUGGUGGGGGGUGGAAAGAUUUAUUGGUCUUGGAUGGACUCGCGGCCUAUCAGCUUGUUGGUGAGGUAAUGGCUCACCAAGGCGACGACGGGUAGCCGGCCUGAGAGGGUGACCGGCCACACUGGGACUGAGACACGGCCCAGACUCCUACGGGAGGCAGCAGUGGGGAAUAUUGCACAAUGGGCGCAAGCCUGAUGCAGCGACGCCGCGUGAGGGAUGGCGGCCUUCGGGUUGUAAACCUCUUUCAGUAGGGAAGAAGCGAAAGUGACGGUACCUGCAGAAGAAGCGCCGGCUAACUACGUGCCAGCAGCCGCGGUAAUAC
rnacentral:rRNA from 1 species